UCAAAUGAUGAUCCUUAUGAUAGGAAUUGCCGUCUGAUCGACAACUGAAGCCAUUAUACAUUCUGACA